rnacentral:rRNA from 1 species
UCCUACGGGAGGCAGCAGUGGGGAAUAUUGGACAAUGGGCGGAAGCCUGAUCCAGCAAUGCCGCGUGUGUGAAGAAGGCCUGAGGGUUGUAAAGCACUUUCAAUUGGGAGGAAAAAGCACGGGUUAAUAGCCUGUGUAUUGACAUUACCUUUAGAAGAAGCACCGGCUAACUCCGUGCCAGCAGCCGCGGUAAUACGGAGGGUGCGAGCGUUAAUCGGAAUUACUGGGCGUAAAGCGUGCGUAGGCGGUUAUUUAAGUCAGAUGUGAAAGCCCCGGGCUUAACCUGGGAACGGCAUUUGAUACUGAGUGACUAGAGUUGAGUAGAGGGGAGUGGAAUUUCCGGUGUAGCGGUGAAAUGCGUAGAGAUCGGAAGGAACACCAGUGGCGAAGGCGACUCCCUGGACUCAAACUGACGCUGAGGUACGAAAGCGUGGGUAGCAAACAGGAUUAGAUACCCUGGUAGUCCACGCCGUAAACGAUGUCAACUAGCCGUUGGGUUUAUUAUGAACUUAGUGGUGCAGCUAACGCAUUAAGUUGACCGCCUGGGGAGUACGGCCGCAAGGUUAAAACUCAAAUGAAUUGACGG